CCAGUUUAGUGACAUGAAUCACUGAAAUCUGCAGAAGUGAAAAGCUCCACCUUCAAGAUCGUUCAUAGCAUUCAAAACCUGGUAAGGACCGACAUUGGGUUCAGAUGACUGUGGUAUUGGGCUUUCUCGGCUUCAAUGACGCAGAUACUAGAGAGGCUGCCAGCAUUUGGUGAAUUUAGGUCAAAUUAGUUGAACAGGUCAGGAGUGACCUGAAACAUAUUUGAAUAGUUACAACCUCUUAAAUUGAUUUAUUGAAAUAACUGAGCCAGCCGAACGGAUCAAUUCUGGCCAGAUGGUCUAAAAGUAGUGUAUGAAAAUUUAAUAUUUACAUUUAAGUAGUUGAAAACAUGAAUCUAGGUUGGUGAUGUUUCCAGCAGGUGACAUAAUGUGAAUCAGCGAUUGAAAUAGAAGUGAACACAUGACUAUGAUCAACCAAUCGAAUGGAUCACGAUCAAAGAAGGAAUUUCAAGACAGUGUUAUGAAAGCUAAGAAUCCGAACGAAGAGAUGAUCAAGAUAUGAAAAGAAAUAGUCGAUUUCAAUGUAAUGCCUCAUUGAAUAUAUUUUGUUACAGUCUUGAGAAUUUGCCAUAUCAUAUUGGAAAUUUUUAAUCAUUAUGCAUUUAUUUUGAUAUCAUUCAAUGGUCAGUUUCACUUGGUUUGUAUGUCACACCAAAACACAUGUCCAGUUGGUUACAAUAUGAAUGGAUUUAUUUCUCU
rnacentral:lncRNA from 1 species